AAGCCCUUUUAGUCAACUGUCUAAGAUGGACUUUUGAUUAAGGAACAGAGCUGGCUGUCACUGCUGCUCAUAUCCGAGCCUGGUCCUGUACAGAAGAUCAAGGGGCUAUCGGAAUGGUACUCAGUACUCAGACAUUUAUCCCUAUCCUGUCAUUAGGAGGCACAUCGAGGAGUUGCAGUUUCCAUGCCAGCAUCGUUCGGAGCAAAUAAAGGAGAAGGCAGAGAUGCUAAUUUGUAGACACGGCUUCGACGUGAAAUGAGGCAAAGCAAUGCUCCGGCUACUGUUGAGAGACCAGAUAGCUACUGCUGCCUACUCAUAAAGAGAACCAUUAAGGAGCAAUGGUUUAUUUCUCUUCUUCCUGAAAUCAUAAAG